rnacentral:rRNA from 1 species
AUUGAACGCUGGCGGCAUGCCUUACACAUGCAAGUCGAACGGCAGCACGGGCUUCGGUCUGGUGGCGAGUGGCGAACGGGUGAGUAAUGUAUCGGAACGUACCUUAGAGUGGGGGAUAACGUAGCGAAAGUUACGCUAAUACCGCAUAUUCUGUGCGCAGGAAAGCAGGGGAUCGCAAGACCUUGUGCUCUUUGAGCGGCCGAUAUCAGAUUAGCUAGUUGGUGAGGUAAAAGCUCACCAAGGCGACGAUCUGUAGCGGGUCUGAGAGGAUGAUCCGCCACACUGGAACUGAGACACGGUCCAGACUCCGACGGGAGGCAGCAGUGGGGAAUUUUGGACAAUGGGGGCAACCCUGAUCCAGCCAUGCUGCGUGAGUGAAGAAGGCCUUCGGGUUGUAAAGCUCUUUCAGCCGGGAAGAAAUCGCAUAGGUUAAUACCCUGUGCGGAUGACGGUACCGGAAUAAGAAGCACCGGCUAACUACGUGCCAGCCGCCGCCGUAA